rnacentral:rRNA from 11 species
UGAACUUAAGCAUAUCAAUAAGCGGAGGA